GACGAACGCUGGCGGCGUGCCUAAUACAUGCAAGUAGAACGCUGAAGGAGGAGCUUGCUUCUCCGGAUGAGUUGCGAACGGGUGAGUAACGCGUAGGUAACCUGCCUGGUAGCGGGGGAUAACUAUUGGAAACGAUAGCUAAUACCGCAUAACAGUAGAUAUUGCAUGAUAUCUGCUUGAAAGGUGCAAUUGCAUCACUACCAGAUGGACCUGCGUUGUAUUAGCUAGUUGGUGGGGUAACGGCUCACCAAGGCGACGAUACAUAGCCGACCUGAGAGGGUGAUCGGCCACACUGGGACUGAGACACGGCCCAGACUCCUACGGGAGGCAGCAGUAGGGAAUCUUCGGCAAUGGACGGAAGUCUGACCGAGCAACGCCGCGUGAGUGAAGAAGGUUUUCGGAUCGUAAAGCUCUGUUGUAAGAGAAGAACGAGUGUGAGAGUGGAAAGUUCACACUGUGACGGUAUCUAC
rnacentral:rRNA from 1 species